rnacentral:misc_RNA from 1 species
UGGGUGAUCUCUACAACCCGAACGUUACUCCUUCUAUCACGCAUCGGAAAAGCUACGCUGGCGUUCCUGCACAUACCCUCCCACCUAUUCCAUUUCACACCACCGUUGCUGUUGCUUGUGUGCUCGCGUAGCGCAUUUGGCUUCUCGAUUUGCGUGCCGCUCGAUAGGGACAACGCAGCAGGCAGCGGCGUAGAGGGAUAGCAUGAACACGACGCAGCGUUUUCUUCUCCUUUUCUCCACCCACCCUCACACACACCUCCGGGCCGGGGCUCGGCAGGCACCAUCCAUCAACACUAAACUGUUUGCUUUUCCACCCCUGCAUUGUGCCUCUCCUCCUUCCUUCUGUUUUGUUUUUCGCCCACAUCGCGUCGCUUCUCUCUUUACACACACACACACACACACAUCGCCAAACGGGCAAACGGCGUCAGUGCUACCGCGCUCUCUGCUGUCCAUCUAUAUUUCUAUAUAAGGGCAACACUCACAGCAGAGCAAGCGCUACGGGUACCACACUGCACCGAACCUCCAUCCCUUCUCAUAGAACUUUUUUUGUCGUUACUUGCGUUUCUCCUGCCGUUUGGUGGAAUCGGUCGGCUACUGAAGUUCUCAGCGCUGGGCUCGCCUUCCUGCUGUUCUCUUUCUCUGUCUGUCUGUCUGUCUCUGUGCACCCUUGCUUGCGUGCCUCUUCUUCCUCCAUCUGCGAGCGUGUGGGUGUCGUGCCUUGCUGAGGUCCUUCCCUGAACGUGCAACCAUCGCUGCCACCCCCUUUUCUUUUUCGUUCUAUGCCUUUGUGUUGAGCCGACUCUGCGUGCUCUUCCUCUCUGCCGCUUGCAAAAUACAGCAAACGUAAAAAAGGCUUCCGGAUGUUUCGGGUCACCAACGUUGCCGAGGAUCGGGACCUGACGCCGUGCAGCACUGCAGCCCCCGUGGUCGACGAGGAUGAAGAGCAUGGAGGAGCCGCUAUUAGCAUCGAGGACAUUUUCGAGUCCCACGAUAGCGCCGACACGCGCUACGUUGGAGUAGCCAACAAGCGGGCUUUCUCGGCACUCCACGUCGCUUUCCCCGUCACGUACUCACCCUCUCAACACGGUGGCCAGAUGCUUUCGCCAUCCUUGUGCCCGCGCGACACGCUGGCCACACCCGCGUCGCGGUCGAUUGCUGCGGCAUCCUCGACGACAACAACGGCGACCCUCUCGCAGCAGCUCACGCCGGUUCACCGUCCCUCUCUCGGUCGAUCGCCCCAGCAGCACACACCGCACCAUCACAGUACGUCUUACGACCACGACCGCUACCAGCGCUUCCUCACAAAUGCGCUGCUGAGCGAAUCAGAGGCGGGUCGUCCGUCGAGCGUGCUGUCGUUUCCCAUGCGGACGCCAACACGGGUGAAUCGGGCAAGUCGGCGAGAAACGCCGGAUGCAUGCGUCAUGGCGGCAGCAGCGCAGCGCCGCACCGGCUUCUCGGACCACGCCGCUGUGCCGCACAAUCCUGCCCAUGAAGAAGCACAAUCUACGGCUUCUGUUUUGCACAGCUCCGUAGUCUCAGAAGGAUGGGCCACCGAGCUGAUGAGUGAGGGCGCGCGAUCUGCAGUCGUGCAGUCUGAGGAGAAGGGCCGCCGGAGAGAUGGCACCUCAGCCGAUGCGUAUCUCUGGCAGCCAACGAAGCAGGCACCACGCAAUCUUUCACGCGUGAACGAUGCUGCGGGGCCCGAGGGCACAUUGUAUAGCGAGGCACAACUCCCAAGCGCCGGGGCGCCAUUUGCGUACUUUCAGCGGGCACCACCGGUGUGGUCGCGGUCAGCACAGACAUCACUGCGCCUCCCGUCGACGCGCGACGAGGACAACUCGCCGCGCGAGACUGACGCGGCUUGUGGCACCGUCAUUCUUGGCUUCGCGGCCGCCGACGAAGGCGACGAGUUGGGCACCCUGCGCGCAGUGCAGCGAACACAGUGCACAGGCGCCGGCGUCGAUGUCGCAGCAGCCUUGGCUUGUCCGAACACGCCGUGCUCGACGCACGGUGACCCUGCUGGGACCAUGGGCGCUGCUGAUGCAUCAUUCUUUACCCCGCGCCAUUCCCCAGGCGCAAUAUCGGCAGCAGGGGAGCUGGGCCGCCCCGACGGCGUUACCACGCCGCUACGGCUGCCCAGCAGCACCGCGCAGCACGUGAGUUCUGACCCGCCUCUGCCAUUAGUGUCGGCGCGUCGCUCGCUGACGCUCCCCAUCCUUCGCUACAUCAGCGAGGACGACACCGACGACGAGGAGGGGGAAAAGGCCCCUGCACCGUUUCUCAGCACACCCGUCGGCCGCGUCAUUGAGGCGAGUUGCGCCACCCCGGUGGCGUCGUCCGCAGCGGGCUCUCCGACUCUAGCGUGGUCAUCGUCGUCGGGGCUCGGGCGGACGCGAGUGGCUAACGGUGCCGCCUCCGUGCGGUCUCACGCCGUCCACCGCCGCAGCCCUGCUCGUUCGGUUCUUUCCUCCUUGGCCACGUCGCGUCAGCUCACGACGCCGCAGUGCCUGUACACACCCGUGCGCCACACGGAUAAUUCAAUCCGCGGCGCGUCCGCCACCGGCCCGUCUGCGGCUGCGUCGGGUGAUGCCCUCAUGACCUCCUCGUCUAUCCGUGGACGCGCCGUCUCGCCCGCGGAGACGAUGCUAUCCACGACGCUUUCGACGGCGCGUCAUCGCGGUGGGAGUCGCCGUCAUCGCGACGGCACAGGCGUUCAGAACUCACGCACCCACAGUCAGCCGCAGCAGCCUCAGCGUUACAGUCGCAACACAUUCCACUUCAUUCGCGCGCUGACCGCCGGAGACGUGUCGACGGAUACGCGACACCGUCCGCUCUAUUGGGGCUGCUUCGGCAUACUGGUGACGCAGCCGACGGAGGUGUGGUGUGUGGGCAAGACGCACCCGUUCCGGCUGUUUCCGCCUGAGCACGCGCCGCUGGCGUGGAUGCCGCGCAACGGAGAGCUGGAGGUGACGACUGUAGCCACGACGGAGCGGCUGUCGCUCGCGCAGUUGGAGGCGGCCUCGAUCGCAUCCGGUACCCCCGAGGCGUCGCCGCCUGUCGUCGUCUACGCUGCCAUCGGCUCGAGCGCAGGUGAUGUCUUCGUGUACGGCUACAGCAAGUGCCCACCGACAGCUCCUGAUGCCACGCCUGUGACUCUCGACACGGCGCAAGCGCAUGCGCACAGCACGCAUACAGUGCGACUAACGCAGCAAGGUAUCCUGCGGCGUGCGGAUCGCGUCGGUGGUAGCGAUGGGGUCUCAGAGGCAAAGACAUGUGCUGCUACGGCCCACGGAUCGCCUACUAUGCAAGACAGCACAGUCUCCGUCGUCCGUGUGAUGGAUCACUGGCUGUACGUUGGAGAUCAGUCCGGCCACGUGUCCCGCUACGACCUGCGCCAUACAAACUUUCUAUGUGCUGUUUCUACCGACACCGCGUCUUCCUCGGCACCUACGGCCACCGCGGCGGAGCCACAGGACAUCAGGGAGGCAAGGCCCCGUCGUGAGCCAAGCGCACGCUCAGACCCUACCAUGGCACCUCUUCCAGCCAGACUGAACCCUUGCAUGCCUGUGCAUCACUUUGGGCGACCUCUUCUACUCGCCAGCGCUUCCCCGACAACGAGGUCGUCGACGCCGUCUCAGGCGGCCCCUGCGGUCACCACGCCGGCGCCGAAGUUCCACUACGCGGUGAACGUUGGGGAGCCUGUAUAUCAUCUCGAAGUGACGAGCAGCCAAAGCUACCUCGCUGUGGGAACGCAGACGCGGCUGCUGGUCUACCGCACCGCACAAAUACCUCGCAUAUCGGACACGUCGUCAUCGUCGUCGCCGUCGCCGCCGCUGCCGUUCCACGCCCCCUUCAUCGGCAUAUCGGCAGGCAGCCCGUCUCGCGAGGGCAGCAGUGGCAACGUCAAGGCUGUGCGUGAACACGGCGACGGCGCUACCCCUCUGGUUGUCGUGAGUGACGCAGCACAGCCCGUACGCUGCUUUGCGUGGAUGUUCUGUGACUAUGAAUCGCUGAUGCAGUCGCUGCAUGCUCGGCCGCCGGUAGAGAAGCAAGUCUUCUUCUCGGACACCGACGACGACGACUCGGAGGCGUUUUCUCCUGUUCCUCUCACCAGCGAUGACGAGAUCGGCAUCGGGAACGCCUCAUCGAAGUUCAUGACCCUGGGCAGUGCCUGUCGCCGCCACACGCCAACUCCAAGCCUCGUGUUUGCCACGGCGUGGCAGGAGCCGACAGAGGUGGCAGAGGGUCAGAGCCCACAAUUGCCGGUGCCACGGAUCAAGACGGACAUUCGCGUGUUCCGUGUCGUGGCGCAGACGACCGUGACCUCCUGCACCCUCGACUACCCUGUUCACAUGUUGGCGGUCCUGCCUGGAACCACGCAGAUCAUUGUCGGCACCGGGGGCGCUGUGGAGCUAGGACGCCCGGCCUCGCCUGGUGCAUCGUCGCCCGCUGGCCAUCCUCGCCCGGCUUCUCCGCAAGUUCCAGCGGAUGCCCUCACAGGGCUGCAGUUGAGCAGCCCCUUUACGUCCCCGGUGUUGCGCUCUGCCUCUGCGACGACGGCGACGGCGGCGGCGGCUACGUCUGUAUCUCCACUCGGCGGGUUUCGCUCCCCGGCUAUCGUGGGGCGUCGCCCUUCGCUGGCAGUCGCAGCGGCGGAGGCUCUCUGGAAUCGUCCGUAUACUGUUCGCCACACUGCCCGCAGCGUCCACCCGACCGACUCAGGCGCCGCGCAUCAGCAGCAGCAGCAACAUCGGGCACGCGCGAGCGAGGAGAAAAACGGCUAUUUAUUCCUUCUCGAGGUGUGCCCUGCCGACAGCCUUGCAGUAGGGAGUGGAGCAGGCGACGACUGCCGUGUGUGCCUGCGUGUGCGAGGCGAGGUGGGCGUCGGCGAAGGCGAGAGUGCUGUUUGCGGGGCUAUGAACCCGCUCCAGGAUCACGUCUCUGUCCUCAUACGCCCUACAGAGAGUGACCCGCGCAUUGUCGAGUCGCCGCCGCGCGAAGGAUCACGGGCGAAGGUGAAGGUGUGGAGGAUAUCCACAGAUGUGCAGUCGGCUUGCAUCAUAUCGACCCCAGGUGGGCUGCUGUUUCCGUCUGAGUCGCAGCAGCAGAUGGAGUGCCUCCGUUGAAAGGUGAGCAGGCACCCAAGCUCCCACCAAAUGUUUUGGUGUGUCUUUUUCGGUGUGUUCUGGGCGUCGAUGCCGACGCGCUGUCACUGUUUAGGGAGGAGGGAGGGUUGUCGGGCAGGGAUUGUGAUCCCUCUCCGUGUCUCCUAUGCCACUAUUGCCAUAGAAGUGCUCUGCAAUGUUUCGGUUCUCUCUCGGAAUGUUUUGAGCUUCAUAGAGUAUACGUUACGGUCGUGUGUGACUGUGUCUACCUGCUCUUCGGCCGUUUUCUUUUUUUUUUGUUCUUUGCUCUCCCGCUUUCACUCAUUUCUACGACAUGUACAGAAUAUAUAUGUGUGCGUGCGCGCGUGUGGGCGUGUACGUGUGCGUGAUGAACGCGUCUUUUCAUGGAGAGAUCAACGUCUUUCUUUUCGUGUUGUUCUUCAUUUCACGAAAAACAAAAAGAUGAUGGUAGAAGCGUAGGAAAAAAAAACAAAGGGGAUCUGGAAGAUGACGAGCGGCCAAGGCUGCUGCCCACUCUUUUCCCGCCUUCCGUCCCCUCGUGUGUGCGUUCGUUUUGUUGCCCUGCCUCUCUCUCUCUCGCCGUUUCUUGCCUGCUUCAUUUUUAUGUUUAUUAUUUUAUUUUAGUUUCUUCAUCUCUGUUUGCUGGUUGGACUUUGUCUCCCUUCCGCCGCCGCACGGAUUUCGUUGUCGGCGCUGAAAGCCCCCCUUCCCUCUUUCUCUGUUGUCUUGGGCCUGCUUCAUUUUCGCACACGGAUCCAAGCGUAUGCCAUUUUGUUUUCAUGUAGAUAUGUGCGCUUGCAUACUCCCUGCCUUUUCGUCUGAAGGUGCGCGCGCUCCUUUGCCGACACCGUCGUGUACUUGCUCGCUUUCCCGCCCCUUGCUCUUGCUUCGUUGUUUAUCCUCCCCUUUUUGCUGCUUGCUGUUGUUCGUUUUCGGAGCGCAUACUACGUGUACACCGCCACCGUCGUCGUCGUCUCUCUCGCGCGCGUGCGUAGCGCACGCUGGAGUCAAAAAAGAAAAUAACAGGAAAAGGGAAAGGGAGACGUGUAUGCGUGCCCGCACAACGCAGCACUCUUGUGUGGCUCUGCCUCCUUUUUGUUUGCGCCGUCGUGUGGCUCUCACGCUGCUGCUUCUGUUUUUCUUAGCCUUUUUCUGCUUAUCGGGUUCAGGCCUGGCUCGUACGUGCAUCCGGUCCGUGCUGUGUGUGUGUGUGUGUGGUCGUCAUAGAAACUGGUGCCUGCGCGUCUCCCUCUUGUGUGUCGCAUUGAACUCCUUCUUUUUUUUUUGUCUGGCCCUGACCGUGUCCUUGCGUGCGCGCGCGUAUCUUGCCUGUGCCGCUCUUCUUUGCGCAGAGGCCGUUGAGUGGCUGCAGAGAGUUGGCGGUGGUGCCUUGACCUUCAUCAUGAUGCCCGCGUGCUUUGCUUGCGUCCGUACGCAUGCGCCUCAACACUUUACGCUGCACUGCACUCCUGCCUGCCUGCCUGCCUGCCUGCAUGCAUGCGUGCAUGGGCUUGGCACCGCUGGUGCCUCUGCGCAUCUCACCGUCUCUCUGUGCUGACGUCCACCGUUCUGCCUGUUUUCCGCAGCAUCGCAGCCAUCUGGCACGCUUUAUGUUCUUCUAGCGCCGGGAGAAGAAGUUCAACACGCUCUGGUCAGUCGGAUCGAAUCGCCUCCGUGGGCUUGCCACCGAAAAGGAUCGUCGUUGGUUUGCGUGCGCCCGCACUGCGAUCGCCUAGCUACAGCGCCCGUGUCUUUCCUUUUUUUUUUUGUGCACUGUGUGGUACCUGCGCUUAGCAUGGCCUUCGGCGAAGUUGCUAAGCGCGUCUGUCCGUGUUUGCGGCAGCAUCACCUUUGCUUCUUCCGGCGCCGCCCUCGCCUUCCCAUCGUUGCUGUUGAAGCAGAGAGUGCACGCCGGAGCCGCGGAACGAAAAGAUGAGGAGAGAACCGAACUUUUGUCCUGCAAUGCCUCGCCAGCGGAGGCACCGCCGCGCUAAAAUGUCCCGGCUCCUUGAUUCUAUUGUCCAUGCCGAUGUCUCCCCCUUUUUCGGUUGAUGUGCCAUCUGCGUUUUUCUCUUGCGUGCUGCGUGCAAUCCAAU